rnacentral:rRNA from 1 species
UACGUAGGGGGCUAGCGUUGUCCGGAUUUAUUGGGCGUAAAGAGCGUGUAGGCGGUUUGUCGCGUCUGCUGUGAAAUUUCGGGGCUCAACCCCGAACUUGCAGUGGGUACGGGCAGACUAGAGUGUGGUAGGGGAGACUGGAAUUCCUGGUGUAGCGGUGAAAUGCGCAGAUAUCAGGAGGAACACCGAUGGCGAAGGCAGGUCUCUGGGCCAUAACUGACGCUGAGAAGCGAAAGCAUGGGGGAGCGAACAGG